AAUUAAAGUAAACAAGUACGAUGAGAGUAAACUUGUCGGAAUAAAGGGGAACCAUCCUCUAAGGCUAAGUAUUAUAAAUUUAGCGAUAGUGAAAUAGUACCGUGAGGGAAAAGUUGAAAAGAGUGUGAGUAAGUACACUAAUGUAGAAAUAGAAAUAAAGAUACAGAAUGUACAUACUCAAAAUAGUAAAUAACGCAGUGAAAUAGACUUGAAUUAGUAACUCUAUAAGCAGUCGAAAUUUAAACAUUAAAUGACGGCGUACCUUUUGCAUAAUGGGUCAGCAAGUUAAUAGGAGUAGCAAGGUUAACAGCCUAAGCGAAAGCGACUACAUCGAAAUCGAAGUGGGUUAAGUUACUUCUAUUAGACCCGAAGCCAGGUGAUCUUUCCAAGACCAGAUUUAAAGGAUCGAACGGAUGAAUGUUGCAUAAUUCUCCGAUGAGUUUUGGAAAGCGGUGAAAUGCCAAUCUGACCUGGUGAUAGCUGGUUUUCUACGAAACAUAUUUAAGUAUGACAUCUACAAUAAAAUUUAUGAAGGUACAGCACGGUAAUUCCCAACAAAUAUUAAAUUAAUUUAAUUUUAUAGGAGUUUAGGUUGCGGGGACCUCGAAAAUCUUACCAAUGGAAGUGAAUCUCGGAAUUACAUAAAUUGGUGGUAGAUAUUCAGACUACUCAUGCUAAGUUGGGUAGUCAAGACGGAAACAGCCGAGAACACAAAUUAAGGUCCCGAAUGAUUAUUAAGUGAAAUAAAGGAUGUGACAUAUUGAAUGCAGCUGAAAAGUGAGCCUGGCAGUCGCUAACUUAUAAUGAACGUGUAAUAACGUAUCAGCCCUUAGAUAGUUGCACCGAAGAUUUAACGGGUCUAAAAUAAUCAACCGAUAUUGUGUUAAUUUUAAAUAUAAAAAAUUAAUUUUAUACUUAAAAUUUAGGUAGUAGAACGUUCAGAUGAUUAAUAGAAAAUUCUAAAAUCCAAACCAACAAUUAACAGUGUUUCAUUGUUUAUAGGAAUCUGAAGUGAGAAUGCUGACAUGAGUAACGUAAAAAGAAAGCUGAAUUUAGAAUUUUAUAUUCUAAAAAUUAAACUUUCUCGCCGAAUACGAAAGGGUUAUUAGCUAAAGAUUAAUUCGACUAAUGUUAAUGCGGUCUCUAAGGUACAAAACCAAUGUUUUGGCUGAUGAGUAAAGCUUUGAAAGCCCUCAAGGAGGAUAUUAAAUUACAAAGAAUGAAGUGUAUUUUACAUGGAAAUAAGUUUUCUUUUGUGUUAAAUUUUAAGCAAAUUUAACAAAUUUAAACUCAAAUGUUCUAUUGAUAAGUGAAUAUUUAUUAAUUAGUAAUUAAUAUUUUUAUAGGGCCAGGAAAAAUAUGUUUUUGAAUAACUUAAUUUUAUAGAUAAGUAGUGUUAAAUUUUUAGACCUUAAAGUGAAUAUUUUAAGAUAAUCUAUCAAAAAAGAAUAUAAUAUUAAUAUUUAAUUUAUUUCAAACUAGUCCUUUGAUAAUAUAAUUUCUUACUUUUUUAUAUUUUGUUUAACCUUAAAAUAAUUUUAUUAUUUUUAUUUGGAUAAGUAAUUUUUAAUAUUUUAUUAUUUUUUAUUUAUUAAUAUUUAUUUUUUUAGAUGGGAACAUUUUAUUAAAGAAUAUUAAUAUAUUUUUAAGCCAACCGUACCCUAAACCGACACAGGUUCGUAGGUAGAGAAUACUAAGGCGUAGAGCUAAAAGUUGUAAAGGAACUCGGCAAAUUAUCCUCGUAAGUUCGUCAAUAAGAGGAACCACUUUCUAAUUUUAAUAACUCCUGUUAAUAUUAGUCUUAAAGUGGUGGCACAAAAUCGGAAGCCACGACUGUUUACUAAAAACACAGCUAUCUGCAAUGAUGUAAAUCAUAGUAUAGGUAGUGAGGUUUGCCCAAUGCCAUCAGCAUAAGAGACGUAAUGGGAAACUGUUAAAUAUCGAAAGCCUGGUUAAUAGCGGUCUUAACCAUGAGGAUCCUAAGGUAGCAAAAUAAAUUGGCCAUUAAAUGUGGUCCGGUAUCAAUAAUUUAACGAUGGCUUCACUGUCUCUACAACUUGCUCAGUGAAAUUGAAUUGUGAGUGCAGAUGCUCACUACUCGCAGGGGGACGGGAAGACCCUAUGCAGCUUCUACUGUAGUUAGUCAUCACAUUAAUUACCUUCAUACUUAAGAAUCCAGAUAAUAGGGAAGUCGAUUAGACACAAUAUGGAAAACCUUAUAUCUUAAGAUGGGUACAUGUUUAUCUUUAUAUCUUAAUAAAUAUUUAUAAAGGGAGAGCUGACUAAUUGGCAGUUUGACUGGGGCGGUCGUCUUUAAUAGAGUAGCAAAGUACAUCCAAAUAGAUUGUUUUGAAAAAAUAUUUACUAAAAUUAGUAAAUAUUCUUACAAAUUAAUUAUUAUUGUAAUUAUAUUUUUAUUUUUAUAUUAAUAUAAUUGUUAAAAAUCCUAAUUAUUAUUAUUCAUUUACAAGGUAUGCUAGAAAUUAAAUGGAGGUUAAUAAACCAGUGAAUAAGGUUUUGGAGAGCGCAAUGGCGGUAAGCAUGCUUAACUGAAAGACUUAAAAGUCGAACAGAUACGUAAGUAGGGCAUAGUGACCCCUCGCUAUAUUAUGGAAUAGACGGGGAUCAAUUGAUAAAAGUUACGCUAGGGAUAGAACUGUUGUCCCUUUGCAAUGAAAAUUGCAAUAAUUUAACUGGGUGAAUUGCAAAAAU
rfam:Scleroderma citrinum Foug A unplaced genomic scaffold scaffold_566, whole genome shotgun sequence.